rnacentral:rRNA from 1 species
AUCUUAGACAAUGGGGGAAACCCUGAUCUAGCCAUGCCGCGUGAGUGAUGAAGGCCUUAGGGUUGUAAAGCUCUUUCGCUGGGGAAGAUAAUGACGGUACCCAGUAAAGAAGCCCCGGCUAACUCCGUGCCAGCAGCCGCGGUAAUACGGAGGGGGCUAGCGUUAUUCGGAAUUACUGGGCGUAAAGCGCACGUAGGCGGACCAGAAAGUUAGGGGUGAAAUCCCGGGGCUCAACCUCGGAACUGCCUCUAAAACUCCUGGUCUUGAGUUCGAGAGAGGUGAGUGGAAUUCCGAGUGUAGAGGUGAAAUUCGUAGAUAUUCGGAGGAACACCAGUGGCGAAGGCGGCUCACUGGCUCGAUACUGACGCUGAGGUGCGAAAGCGUGGGGAGCAAACAGG